rnacentral:lncRNA from 1 species
GGGGCUUUUGGUGUGUGAUGCGUGUCUGGUGCGUGUGGCUCUGCCUCACCCUCACUGUGCUAACGGGACCGAUGUGCGGCUCGGUUCAGCCCUUUAAAUGAAUCAGUUGUUGGGGAGUGAUGCGCUAAUUCGUCCUCACCCCGCGUGGUGUGCAGGAGGUUGGUGUCACCGGUGAUAACCGUGCCUGCCGCCCCCCGGGCUGGGCGAGGCGAGGGGCCGGGUGCUGUCCUGUUUCCCCAAGUUGCUGUUCCCGGCUUGUUGGGCCGUUACCAUGGAGAAUCAGCAGCCAGGGGAAGGGGGGGGGGGGGGGGGGCCCCUCGGCAGUGCCGGCUGCGGUCACCCCGGGCUCCCUCUCCGCGAUCGCCGGGUCCCGGAGCGGGGCCGGGGGCUGUCGGGGAGCGGUCCCGGCGGGGCAGGGCCCGGGGGCGGCCGCAGCCCGGUGUGUGCACGCCCUCCAGAGCACGGGGAAGGGCGCAGCAGCGCCUUUGUCCUCGGCCGGCCGAGCCCAGACAAAAGGCUCCCUCCUGCUCCGCGUGGCAGCGGGCAGGGCUGCCCCGGGCUGCUCGCCUGGGAAAUGAGGGGACUGCGAAGGGAACCCCCCCGGCAUCGCCCCCCGUGUGCUGUGGGGCGCUGGGUGCUGCUGGUCCCCCCCCCACGUCUCGGCUGUGUCCCCACAGGCAGGGCUGGCGGUCCCACUGCGGGCUCUGGGAGGUCCCCGGGCAGGGGGCUGUUAUUGCCGCCCCCCCCGCUCCCCGUUAGGUGGCAGCUGAGGCCCCCCUCGUGGCUCCAGGCUCCGUGCGUGCUCGCUGUGCUCCUGGGCAGGACACAAAAAGGCUUUCUCCAGCGCAGGACACCGCAGUGGCUGCUUUCCUUUAUCCUUGAAAUUCACGCAGCAGGACCGCCGAGGCGCUCGGACUUGCAGCUCCCAUGGAUGCCUUUUGGCCCACCCAGAGCAUGGUGCGGGAUGUGCGGGAGGAUGGAGGAGGUCGGGAGCACCGGGAGAUGCUCGGGCUGGGGCUGCUGCAGCAGCAGAGCCCCCUCUAACCUGGGGGAGCCGUGUUUUUGGACACAGGCACUGACAAAGGACCAGGAAACACAUAUGAUCUCAGAAUCACUCGGAAAAUCACGAGAGCCGUUCCUGCUCGGGACCAACGCCGGCUCUGGUUGUGAUCUGCGUGCACCAGGGAGCCAGGCUGUUUGGACAGCCCUCCUGGCGAUGUAUCCCAACUUCGGAGACAUUGAUUUCGCAACUUUCAAGUCUGACAGCCUUUCAUUAGCAGCUCUGAUGUAACCAUGAUACAGACGAUAAUCUGUGUUUCACUAGUUGAGCAUAUAUUUCCUCAGGCGUGCAGAUAGCUGGCACCUUUCCCCUUCUUCCUCUCCCACAGCUUCCACAUGAAUAGUCCCAGCGAUAUGCACAAACCCAUUUAGCAAAUGGAUUUUUUUCUUGUGAAGUGUUUAAAAAUAGUCACCUUUCAUUAUUAAAAAUGGUGACUGGUGUAUCAUGACUCAACAGUCUGAGGGCAAAUCUGCACACUGUAUAUCAAUACUUCAAGUAAGCGACUGAAGGAAUCAAUAGUUCAAGUAUAUGUCUGUAUUUAUUACAUAUUCAAUCGACUAACUCAUGCUCUUUCAUCAAUAUAUUAACUGAUAAUAAAACUCUGUUUACUAUAGAAAAU